ensembl:lncRNA
CUGUUAGUUACAAAGCUGAGACCAAGAAUGAGAAAUGCUGACCCACCCCAGUGACCACACUCAACAGACGUGAGUCCCUCCCUCUUCCCAGAGGACCCUGCCUUCCUGUCUGCACUGCACAUCUCCCCAGAUUUCUGGAUUGAGAGUUGGGUUUGAAUCCCAGGUCUGUAAUACACUUCCUCGGUGGCCUCCAGUAACUGAGAACCUCUGGCGUCCAUUUGCUCGCUUGAAAAUGAAGAUGGACAAACUGCUCAUGGGUUGCCAAGCAGGUUAGUGAGGCCAUAGGGAGCUGGUCACAAAGGAGGUGCUCAGUAAAGGACAGCUGUGAUGAUGCCAUCCCCCAGACCUCCAGGAUGUGAAAACCAUUUUCCUUGUAGGGGGCCACAGAACCAGCAAGGAAUAUGCUUAAUUGGAUGAUAAUGGAUGAUCAACUAAAAGCAAGUCAGCUGGAUGUAACACACACAACAGAAAAACCCAAAAUGACAGGAGUUUAAAGAGGAGAGAAGUUCAUUUCUCACCCACAUAAAGAUGUCUGCAGCAGGCAGCCCAGGGCUGAAAGGAGAACUUCACACUUUGCUUGGGGAUCCACCUGCCUGUCUAUCUGAUCUGCUUUCUUCAAUGAAUGGCUUCCAUCCACAAGAUGCGUCACAAUCCAAGAAAUCGGUGGAAAUCCAUCCUCAAGUGCCCAUUCCAGGCAGGCGGCAGGACAGCAUGUGGAAGACAAAAACGAUGCUCCUCCCAACUGGGUCAGAAGCUUGAAACUCCUUUCCAAGAAGUUCCCUGUGCCACUUCUACUUAAAUCUCCGGCCGGAAGUUCAUCUUACGGCCUCAGCAGCUGCACAGGUUGCUGGAAAAUUGUUGCCUUUUGGGUGCAUUGCCACGUUGAAUAAAACCGAGGUUCAAUUUUAUUGAGAAAGUGGGGGAGGCUGGAUGUUGAGUGGCAACAAGCAACCUCUGCCACAAAUAGACAACCUUUCCUCACUCAACAGAUGCCGCACACUCUGCAGAGGAUGGGGUGAAAAGAGAAAGAAACGAAGAAAAACACAACACAGAGCCUGAUAUUCAGGGACUCAUGGUCUGACAGGGGAGACAGAUAUGUAAUAAAUGAGUUUAUUAGAGUGAUCACUGCACUCAUAAAAGUGUGUACUGCGAAGAUGGAUGGUACAAAGGGGGCUGUUGCCCAUUGAUCCUGAAGUUUGAUGAAGACAUAUCUCUUUAAGGUAAUGGCCUUUGCAACCAUGGAGACUUUCUCCAGGAAAACUGGAAGAGUGCAGACAAAGACAGAAGGUGGUCAAGAGAUCAAGGCCUGUUCAACCGAUAGAGUCCUUUCCCCUGGUCACAGGAAUGUGACCUUGGUCAGUCUGGUGGGAUUAAUUCUUCCAGUUUUAUCGAAGCUCUGUGUGUUGGGACGUGGGCUCACCAGGCUGGGAGAAUAAAAGCCUGGACAUAGCUCAACUGACAGUAGAAGUAAUACAGAAGAAAGCCGAGCCGGGAAGGAAAGAGGGCCGGGCUUCUUGACGUUAUUUGAGGUCCUGGGGCCUGCUGUCCCUGGGACUCCUGAACUUUGCAGUUUCAUGAACCCCUAAGUCUCCUUAUUGCUUAAGCCAGUUGGGGUGCAGUUUCUGCAUCUGCAACAAGGGUUUUGAUUGAUACUGUGUAGAACAAGCCAGUAAAGAAAAAAAAAAAUCAGUCUAUGCGUCAGACAGCACCAUUAGCAGGCACUGAAGAAUAUGACUGAGGGGUGAUCACUCCCCUGGUUUGCUGGGACUGUCCCGGUUUUAGCCCUGAAAGUCCCACACCCUGGGAAUCCCUCAGUCCCUGGCCAAUCUGGGUGGUUGGUUUCCAUCAGGUGGAAAGCCAUCCAUGUUUACUGUGGGAAAGAGGAGACUAAGGGGAAAAUGGCGGCUAUUGUCAAAUGUCUGAAGAGUUCUCACGUGGAAGAGAAAAGUAGAUGGUUCUGUGUGGCUCCAAGCAGUAGAGGCAGAAUAAUUCGGCAGAGGCUGUGGAGGUGAGAAUGUUAAAAGGCAGAUGGUCUUCAUUAUAAGGACAAUUUUUCUAAACAUCAGGACAGUCAAGACUGGGAUUGGCUUGCCUUGAAGGGGAAGCCAGCGGAGGGGUCAUGUGGUC